rnacentral:rRNA from 1 species
AUUGAACGCUGGCGGCAGGCCUAACACAUGCAAGUCGAGCGAGGGGCGGACGGGUGAGUAAUGUAUGGGAAACUGCCCGAUGGAGGGGGAUAACUACUGGAAACGGUGGCUAAUACCGCAUACCAUCGGAUGAGCCCAUAUGGGAUUAGCUAGUUGGUGAGGUAAUGGCUCACCAAGGCGACGAUCCCUAGCUGGUCUGAGAGGAUGAUCAGCCACACUGGGACUGAGACACGGCCCAGACUCCUACGGGAGGCAGCAGUGGGGAAUAUUGCACAAUGGGCGCAAGCCUGAUGCAGCCAUGCCGCGUGUAUGAAGAAGGCCCUAGGGUUGUAAAGUACUUUCAGUCGGGAGGCGUUACCGACAGAAGAAGCACCGGCUAACUCCGUGCCAGCAGCCGCGGUAAUUC